UAGUCAGGUACCGUCCUAUUUCUUCCCUGCUGAUAGAGCUUUACAUACCGAAAUACUUCUUCGCUCACGCGGCGUCGCUGCAUCAGGGUUUCCCCCAUUGUGCAAUAUUC
rnacentral:rRNA from 1 species